rnacentral:rRNA from 1 species
UCUACGGGGGGCAGCAGUGAGGAAUAUUGGUCAAUGGGCGCGAGCCUGAACCAGCCAAGUAGCGUGAAGGAUGACUGCCCUACGGGUUGUAAACUUCUUUUAUAAAGGAAUAAAGUGAGGCACGUGUGCCUUUUUGUAUGUACUUUAUGAAUAAGGAUCGGCUAACUCCGUGACAGCAGCCGCGGUAAUACGGAGGAUCCGAGCGUUAUCCGGAUUUAUUGGGUUUAAAGGGAGCGUAGAUGGGUUGUUAAGUCAGUUGUGAAAGUUUGCGGCUCAACCGUAAAAUUGCAAUUGAUACUGGCAGUCUUGAGGACAGUUGAGGUAGGCGGAAUUCGUGGUGUAGCGGUGAAAUGCUUAGAUAUCACGAAGAACUCCGAUUGCGAAGGCAGCUUACUAAACUGCCACUGACAUUGAUGCUCGAAAGUGUGGGUAUCAAACAGGAUUAGAUACCCCUGUAGUC